rnacentral:sRNA from 1 species
GGGUGUGAGAGUGAUUUGGCCACAACAUCUGUCACCCCAUUGAUUGCCAGACUGGCUUCGUUAGUUCUGGGUGGCUAGGCCAGGGUCUCCAUCCUCUCCUGCCUUCCUACAGACAUCGCUCCCGGAGCUGCACACUGUCCUUCUCUAACAGGGUGGACCAUUGGUCAGAGCAGAGCAUACUUAUUAUCAGAAAAUAACCCCACUGGAUUCAAGAACUCCUUAUAUAAACCCUUAGUUUUGACAUAG